rnacentral:rRNA from 1 species
GACGAACGCUGGCGGCGUGCUUAACACAUGCAAGUCGAACGGAAAGGCCCUGCUUGCAGGGUACUCGAGUGGCGAACGGGUGAGUAACACGUGGGUGAUCUGCCCUGCACUUCGGGAUAAGCUUGGGAAACUGGGUCUAAUACCGGAUAGGAGCCAUCUUUAGUGUGGUGGUUGGAAAGUUUUUUCGGUGUAGGAUGAGCUCGCGGCCUAUCAGCUUGUUGGUGGGGUAAUGGCCUACCAAGGCGGCGACGGGUAGCCGGCCUGAGAGGGUGUACGGCCACAUUGGGACUGGGAUACGGCCCAGACUCCUACGGGGGCAGCAGUGGGGAAUAUUGCACAAUGGGCGCAAGCCUGAUGCAGCGACGCCGCGUGGGGGAUGAAGGCCUUCGGGUUGUAAACUCCUUUCGCUAGGGACGAAGCUUUGUUGUGACGGUACCUAGAUAAGAAGCACCGGCUAACUACGUG